rnacentral:hammerhead_ribozyme from 1 species
AUCCAGAUGACGAGUCCCAAAUAGGACGAAAUGCGAACCCUGGAU